GCUGGGCACAGUGGCUCAUGCCUGUAAUCCCAGCACUUUGGGAGGCCGAGGUGGGUGGAUCACCUGAGGUCAGGAGUUCAAGACCAGCCUGACCAACAUGGUGAAACCCCAUCUCUU
ensembl:misc_RNA Metazoa_SRP Metazoan signal recognition particle RNA